AUUGAACGCUGGCGGCAGGCCUAACACAUGCAAGUCGAGCGGAUGAAGGGAGCUUGCUCCUGGAUUCCGCGGCGGACGGGUGAGUAAUGCCUAGGAAUCUGCCUGGUAGUGGGGGAUAACGUCCGGAAACGGGCGCUAAUACCGCAUACGUCCUGAGGGAGAAAGUGGGGGAUCUUCGGACCUCACGCUAUCAGAUGAGCCUAGGUCGGAUUAGCUAGUUGGUGGGGUAAAGGCCUACCAGGCGGAGGAUCGGAAACUGGUCUGAGAGGAUGGUCAGUCACACUGGAACUGAGACACGGACCAGACUCCUACGAGAGGCAGCAGUGGGGAAUAUUGGACAAUGGGCGAAAGCCUGGUCCAGCCAUGCCGCGUGUGUGAAGAAGGUCUUCGGAUUGUAAAGCACUUUAAGUUGGGGGGAAGGGCAGUAAGUUAAUACCUUGCUGUUUUGACGUUACCAACAGAAUAAGCACCGGCUAACUUCGUG
rnacentral:rRNA from 1 species